GACGAGCGGCGGUGGGGCGAGUAAUGUCUGGGAAACUGCCUGAUGGAGGGGGAUAACUACUGGAAACGGUAGCUAAUACCGCAUAACGUCGCAAGACCAAAGUGGGGGACCUUCGGGCCUCAUGCCAUCAGAUGUGCCCAGAUGGGAUUAGCUAGUAGGUGGGGUAACGGCUCACCUAGGCGACGAUCCCUAGCUGGUCUGAGAGGAUGACCAGCCACACUGGAACUGAGACACGGUCCAGACUCCUACGGGAGGCAGCAGUGGGGAAUAUUGCACAAUGGGCGCAAGCCUGAUGCAGCCAUGCCGCGUGUGUGAAGAAGGCCUUCGGGUUGUAAAGCACUUUCAGCGGGGAGGAAGGCGUUAAGGUUAAUAACCUUGGCGAUUGACGUUACCCGCAGAAGAAGCACCGGCUAACUCCGUGCCAGCAGCCGCGGUAAUACGGAGGGUGCAAGCGUUAAUCGGAAUUACUGGGCGUAAAGCGCACGCAGGCGGUCUGUCAAGUCGGAUGUGAAAUCCCCGGGCUCAACCUGGGAACUGCAUUCGAAACUGGCAGGCUAGAGUCUUGUAGAGGGGGGUAGAAUUCCAGGUGUAGCGGUGAAAUGCGUAGAGAUCUGGAGGAAUACCGGUGGCGAAGGCGGCCCCCUGGACAAAGACUGACGCUCAUGUGCGAAAAGCGUGGGGGAGCAAACAGGAUUAGAUACCCUGGUAGUCCACGCCGUAAACGAUGUCGAUUUGGAGGUUGUGCCCUUGAGGCGUGGCUUCCGGAGCUAACGCGUUAAAUCGACCGCCUGGGGAGUACGGCCGCAAGGUUAAAACUCAAAUGAAUUGACGGGGGCCCGCACAAGCGGUGGAGCAUGUGGUUUAAUUCGAUGCAACGCGAAGAACCUUACCUGGUCUUGACAUCCACAGAACUUAGCAGAGAUGCUUUGGUGCCUUCGGGAACUGUGAGACAGGUGCUGCAUGGCUGUCGUCAGCUCGUGUUGUGAAAUGUUGGGUUAAGUCCCGCAACGAGCGCAACCCUUAUCCUUUGUUGCCAGCGGUUCGGCCGGGAACUCAAAGGAGACUGCCAGUGAUAAACUGGAGGAAGGUGGGGAUGACGUCAAGUCAUCAUGGCCCUUACGACCAGGGCUACACACGUGCUACAAUGGCAUAUACAAAGAGAAGCGACCUCGCGAGAGCAAGCGGACCUCAUAAAGUAUGUCGUAGUCCGGAUUGGAGUCUGCAACUCGACUCCAUGAAGUCGGAAUCGCUAGUAAUCGUAGAUCAGAAUGCUACGGUGAAUACGUUCCCGGGCCUUGUACACACCGCCCGUCACACCAUGGGAGUGGGUUGCAAAAGAAGUAGGUAGCUUAACCUUCGGGAGGGCGCUUACCACUUUGUGAUUCAUGACUGGGGUGAAGUCGUAACAAAGGUAACC
rnacentral:rRNA from 1 species